rnacentral:rRNA from 1 species
UACAGAGGCCUCAAGCGUUGUUCGGAUUCAUUGGGCGUAAAGGGUGCGUAGGCGGCUUGUUAAGUUGGAGGUGAAAUCUCGGGGCUCAACUCCGAAACUGCCUUUAAUACUGGCGAGCUCGAGGAUAGUAGAGGAGAAUGGAAUUCACGGUGUAGCAGUGAAAUGCGUAGAUAUCGUGAGGAAGACCAGUGGCGAAGGCGAUUCUCUGGGCAAUUCCUGACACUGAGGCACGAAGGCCAGGGGAGCAAACGGG